CUGAGUUUGAUCCCUGGCUCAGGACGAACGCUGGCGGCGUGCUUAACACAUGCAAGUCGAGCGAUGAAGUUCCUUCGGGAGCGGAUUAGCGGCGGACGGGUGAGUAACACGUGGGUAACCUGCCUCAUAGAGGGGAAUAGCCUUUCGAAAGGAAGAUUAAUACCGCAUAAGAUUGUAGUGCCGCAUGGCAUAGCAAUUAAAGGAGUAAUCCGCUAUGAGAUGGACCCGCGUCGCAUUAGCUAGUUGGUGAGGUAACGGCUCACCAAGGCGACGAUGCGUAGCCGACCUGAGAGGGUGAUCGGCCACAUUGGGACUGAGACACGGCCCAGACUCCUACGGGAGGCAGCAGUGGGGAAUAUUGCACAAUGGGGGAAACCCUGAUGCAGCAACGCCGCGUGAGUGAUGACGGUCUUCGGAUUGUAAAGCUCUGUCUUUCAGGGACGAUAAUGACGUACCUGAGGAGGAAGCCACGGCU
rnacentral:rRNA from 1 species